rnacentral:rRNA from 1 species
GACGAACGCUGGCGGCGUGCUUAACACAUGCAAGUCGAACGGAAAGGCCCUGCUUUUGUGGGGUGCUCGAGUGGCGAACGGGUGAGUAACACGUGAGUAACCUGCCCUUGACUUUGGGAUAACUUCAGGAAACUGGGGCUAAUACCGGAUAGGAGCUCCUGCUGCAUGGUGGGGGGUGGAAAGUUUCGGCGGUUGGGGAUGGACUCGCGGCUUAUCAGCUUGUUGGUGGGGUAGUGGCUUACCAAGGCGUUGACGGGUAGCCGGCCUGAGAGGGUGACCGGCCACAUUGGGACUGAGAUACGGCCCAGACUCCUACGGGAGGCAGCAGUGGGGAAUAUUGCACAAUGGGCGGAAGCCUGAUGCAGCAACGCCGCGUGCGGAAUGACGGCCUUCGGGUUGUAAACCGCUUUCGCCUGUGACGAAGCGUGAGUGACGGUAAUGGGUAAAGAAGCACCGGCUAACUACGUG